UACGUAGGCAGCAAGCGUUGUUCGGAAUUACUGGGCGUAAAGAGUGUGUAGGCGGUUUUCUAAGUUCGGUGUGAAAUCUCCCGCUUAACUGGGAGGGUGCGCCGGAAACUGGAGGACUGGAGUGCCGGAGAGGAUAGCGGAAUUCCUGGUGUAGCGGUGAAAUGCGUAGAUAUCAGGAGGAACACCUGCGGUGUAGACGGCUAUCUGGACGGUUACUGACGCUGAGACACGAAAGCGUGGGUAGCAAACAGG
rnacentral:rRNA from 1 species